GGAUGUGGCCCAGCGGUAGGGUGCUCGCCCAGCGUGUGCAAGGCCCUGGGUUCAACUCCCAGCUCUG
rnacentral:tRNA from 1 species